GGUCCAGACUUUGAUUAUGGCUCAGGAUGAACGCUAGCUACAGGCUUAACACAUGCAAGUCGAGGGGAAACGAUAUUGGAAGCUUGCUUCCGAUAGGCGUCAACCGGCGCACGGGUGAGUAACGCGUAUCCAACCUGCCCAUCACUUGGGGAUAACCUUGCGAAAGUAAGACUAAUACCCAAUGAUAUCUCAAGAAGACAUCUGAAUGAGAUUAAAGAUUUAUCGGUGAUGGAUGGGGAUGCGUCUGAUUAGCUUGUUGGCGGGGUAACGGCCCACCAAGGCGACGAUCAGUAGGGGUUCUGAGAGGAAGGUCCCCCACAUUGGAACUGAGACACGGUCCAAACUCCUACGGGAGGCAGCAGUGAGGAAUAUUGGUCAAUGGGCGAGAGCCUGAACCAGCCAAGUAGCGUGCAGGAUGACGGCCCUAUGGGUUGUAAACUGCUUUUAUAAGGGAAUAAAGUGAGCUACGUGUAGCUUUUUGCAUGUACCUUAUGAAUAAGGACCGGCUAAUUCCGUGCCAGCAGCCGCGGUAAUACGGAAGGUCCGGGCGUUAUCCGGAUUUAUUGGGUUUAAAGGGAGCGUAGGCCGGAGAUUAAGCGUGUUGUGAAAUGUAGAUGCUCAACAUCUGCACUGCAGCGCGAACUGGUUUCCUUGAGUACGCACAAAGUGGGCGGAAUUCGUGGUGUAGCGGUGAAAUGCUUAGAUAUCACGAAGAACUCCGAUUGCGAAGGCAGCUCACUGGAGCGCAACUGACGCUGAAGCUCGAAAGUGCGGGUAUCGAACAGGAUUAGAUACCCUGGUAGUCCGCACGGUAAACGAUGGAUGCCCGCUGUUGGUCUGAAUAGGUCAGCGGCCAAGCGAAAGCAUUAAGCAUCCCACCUGGGGAGUACGCCGGCAACGGUGCAACUCAAAGGAAUUGACGG
rnacentral:rRNA from 1 species